CCUGCCCUUAGUGACUAGAGCAUCAUCCUACCAGCAAAUUCCAGCUGCCCUCUAUAUCCCCCUAGCUGCCAGGUCUCAGAUUUCCCCCAGACAGCGCUUGGUGGUGGUGUGCAUUAUCAGCUCUUCUGUCUUUGCCUGGAGUUUGAGGACAAUGUAACAGUAGUUGAACCUGGUAUCACAACAAAUAAACAGGAGAGGAUCCAGGUCCUUCAGUGUCUUCUGUGGGAGGAACAUAUCCCACAUGGCAUCUUCUGUGGUUAAGUAACAGGCUCCAGCAAGGAGCAGAGCUUGGCUUCUCUCAAAGAAGAUGCUGGAUGUGGCCCCUCUCAAUCUAGGAAUCUUCCACUUCAGGGCUCAGAAAGAGGAAGGGAAAUUCUGAAUUCCGUGCCCAGAAAGGUCAAGAGCAGCAAAUGAGAAGAAAAUGAGCUCCAAGCUGGAGGGUCCCUCCAAGAGUGCCCUGGCUGAGGCAGGAGAUGAACAGCACCAUCACAGCAGGCUGCAGGCCCUUAAGGGGCUGGGCAGAAGUCUAAAAGGGGUCAGUAGUUUUUCAACUAAAAAUCAGGCCAAAUGGGGUUAAUUUUGUGAGGCUGCUGCUGGAGAGCUCAGGCUCUGCUUUUGUAGCACAGUGCACGAGCUGCUUAACCCAGUAUUCCUCUCCUCCUCCUCACGCCUACUAUCCAAUACCGAAAUGAGACAUCAUCUCCUGUAGCAGCUAUUAAUAUAGCAACACAAAAAGCACCCUGGGAAGGUGUUUUCCCAGUAAGCUAGAACAUCCCUUCACCUCCCCACAUCUGGCACCACUGUGGCCUAAGUGAAACACAGGAGCUGUGCAACACCAGGCAUUAAUGUUGCUUUCAGCUGACAGCAUGAACCAUCCCCUGGGACUCCACAAACCCUACGCAAGCCUUGUUCUAAGGCCCCGAAGCACUGAGUUGGAUGUUCCAACUCUCUCCUGUGUUCGGGUGCCUUGCAGACAUGUUAUGAGGACCUUUGCAUCCAGAAACAGAAACUGGAAAAAGCACUCAGCUGUCUCUGCUACAGCAUACAGGAAGAGAGGCAGAGUCUGGGGU